rnacentral:rRNA from 1 species
AGAGUUUGAUCCUGGCUCAGGACGAACGCUGGCGGCGUGCUUAACACAUGCAAGUCGAACGAGGUCCUACUGGUGGCAACACCAGGAAAGACCUAGUGGCGAACGGGUGAGUAACACGUGAGAAACCUGCCCCGAAGACUGGGAUAACCGUUCGAAUGACGGCUAAUACCGGAUGCCCUCUUCUGAUCGCAUGGUCGGAUGAGGAAAGGAUUCUGCUUCGGGAGGGUCUCGCGGCCUAUCAGCUUGUUGGUGAGGUAACGGCUCACCAAGGCGACGACGGGUAGCUGGUCUGAGAGGACGAUCAGCCACACUGGGACUGAGACACGGCCCAGACUCCUACGGGAGGCAGCAGUGGGGAAUCUUGCGCAAUGGGCGAAAGCCUGACGCAGCAACGCCGCGUGCGGGAUGAAGGCCUUCGGGUUGUAAACCGCUUUCAGUGGGGACGAAAUCAGACGGUACCCACAGAAGAAGCCCCGGCCAACUACGUGCCAGCCGCCGCGGUAAUAC